rnacentral:tRNA from 1 species
GCCCAGGUGGCUCAGUUGGUUGAGCGUCUGAGUUAGGCUCAGGUCGUCUCAGGGUCCUGGGAUCGAGCCCUGCAUUGGGCA